rnacentral:rRNA from 1 species
AACGAACGCUGGCGGCAGGCUUAACACAUGCAAGUCGAGCGCCCCGCAAGGGGAGCGGCAGACGGGUGAGUAACGCGUGGGAAUCUACCCAGCUCUACGGAACAACUCCGGGAAACUGGAGCUAAUACCGUAUACGUCCUUCGGGAGAAAGAUUUAUCGGAGUUGGAUGAGCCCGCGUUGGAUUAGCUAGUUGGUGGGGUAAUGGCCUACCAAGGCGACGAUCCAUAGCUGGUCUGAGAGGAUGAUCAGCCACACUGGGACUGAGACACGGCCCAGACUCCUACGGGAGGCAGCAGUGGGGAAUAUUGGACAAUGGGCGAAAGCCUGAUCCAGCCAUGCCGCGUGAGUGAUGAAGGCCCUAGGGUUGUAAAGCUCUUUCACCGGUGAAGAUAAUGACGGUAACCGGAGAAGAAGCCCCGGCUAACUUCGUGCCAGCCGCCGCGGUAAUAC